UACGAAGGGGGCUAGCGUUGCUCGGAUUGACUGGGCGUAAAGGGCGCGUAGGCGGUUCGUACAGUCAGACGUGAAAUUCCUGGGCUCAACCUGGGGGCUGCGUUUGAUACGUGCGGACUUGAGUGCGGAAGAGGGUCGUGGAAUUCCCAGUGUAGAGGUGAAAUUCGUAGAUAUUGGGAAGAACACCGGUGGCGAAGGCGGCGACCUGGUCCGAUACUGACGCUGAGGCGCGAAAGCGUGGGGAGG
rnacentral:rRNA from 1 species